UACAGAGGUCCCGAGCGUUGUUCGGAUUCACUGGGCGUAAAGGGUGCGUAGGUGGCGGGGAAAGUUUGAUGUGAAAUCUCCGGGCUUAACCCGGAAAUGGCAUUGAAUACUAUUCCGCUUGGAGGGUUGGAGGGGGGACUGGAAUUCUCGGUGUAGCAGUGAAAUGCGUAGAUAUCAGGAGGAACACCGGUGGCGAAGGCGGCUCUCUGGACGGUGACUGACGCUGAGACGCGAAAGCGUGGGGAGCAAACAGG
rnacentral:rRNA from 1 species